ensembl:lncRNA
ACAAAAAAACCCACAAUUGUCAAAAGUAAACAAAAUCACUGUUAACCCGGAACUGCAUGCUGUUGCGCUUCGGGCAGUUCAUACUCGACACAUGCUCCGGCACACAGCGUGAGGGGAAAUCCGUCACACUGUGAGAGAAAACAUACUGUGAGUUCUGAUAUAUAUAUUCCUUCAGAACAUGACCAGACUUCUCAAACCACUUGCUUAUUCGUGUUAUCCACAGGUUUUAGUGGUUAUGUGUUCAACAAAGCAGCCCUCUGACAUUAGGCAUUUCUUUUUGUCCCCUCAUUUUUGAUCACUCUAGAUGCUGUUUGCAGAAGGAGUGUACAGCACCAUCUUGGAUCUCCAUUGCUAAAGAUUCUUUUCAGAAAGAGCUGAUUUCCUUUCAGGUUAUUUCUUUAAUCCCUGGAGAGAUCAAUCUGACUGUAUACCUGCACCUGGAGGCCACAGAAAGUCUUCCUUUGACAUGUACAUUCAAGGCAGGAAGUGUGGAUCUGUGUACUAGCCCAGUUGCACACUUUCCCAGCUGCUCCUGCAAUUUCCCUGAAAAGCACCUGUCUUCUGAUAGACUCAAAGUCACAGUGACAGUCAAUAUUAGUGAUCAGAUCUUCACAGACAGCCUGACACUGAGGAGCUGCCCAAAUAUCACAGAGAAUACACAAUCAGAUGCUCAGUGCACAGCCUGUGUCUCAGCUGGGUGUUAUUGGAACAACAGUGGCAUGAAGUGUACCUGGACUCCUAAAUCUGCACCUUAUGUACACAUACAGGACAUAUGCAAGCAGUCUUCCUCUAGAAAAACAACAUGGUGAG